UACGUAGGGGGCAAACGUUGUCCGGAUUUAUUGGGCGUAAAGCGCGUGUAGGCGGCCAGAUAGGUCUGCUGUGAAAACUCGAGGCUCAACCUCGAGCUGUCGGCGGAAACCAUCUGGCUAGAGUCCGGAAGAGGAGAGUGGAAUUCCUGGUGUAGCGGUGAAAUGCGCAGAUAUCAGGAAGAACACCUAUGGCGAAGGCAGCUCUCUGGGACGGUACUGACGCUGAGACGCGAAAGCGUGGGGAGCGAACAGG
rnacentral:rRNA from 1 species